rnacentral:lncRNA from 1 species
UUGAUAUAAAUCAGAUUAGAAAUUGAUAAUACGUGUAAAACUUGGAACAUAUGUCUGACAAAACAACAUCAUGGCUACAUUCUAAAAUUCUACAAACUUAAUACAAUCAUGCUACAGACACAUUAAGACGUCGAAUGCCGCCUACUCCUCGAAGGCGUAUUCGUCUUCGUUUCACGUGCACUUGUGGAACAAGGGCUCUCCGAUGUAUCCGAACUCUCAUUAUCACUAUCCUUAUCUUUGCCAGUAAACAGUUUCGAUAAUAUUCUUGACGACAUAAGAUGCAUACCCUUCGACUUCUGGCUACUGUUCCCACCUUCGCUUAUCUUUAAACCCGCUAAUUCCCCUUUUAACGUCUUCAGUUCUUCACUUGUUGGCACCGAAUCCCAUUCUUCUUCUGUGUUUGUAGUGGCGGAUCUUGAGCUCCCAGUCGCACUGGCCCGCAUCUGCUCGAAGAAAAGGAUCUGCACCACGACGCGUAACGGGAGUCUUUCGUUUUGGAUGGCGUGCAUGCAAGCCUCUGCUGAUAAUUUUCGACAAUCCAUUAAUCUGCAUAGUUUCUUUCUCUCGGUUUUAUUGAUCCCCGGGUGUUCCUACAAGAACAUGUCGAUUGCGCGAUAAAUUCCAUCGUGUGAAGGCCGAGAUAGAGUCGACACCAUGUCUGCAAGAUCGGUAAACUUUAAUAACGGUAAAUCGGGGUUUCUAGCAAUUUCAGCGAGGUACAAAUCGAUAAGCUUAGCGACUUUGACUUUCGCUCCCGAGUCAACAAACUUGACUUCUAGAAAGCCGUGUUCAUCACCGUGAUCGGCAACCUGAUCCUGCAUCACGAACGUUUUCACGAGUUCUUGAACCAAAUCGACGUCAACAUUCACAAGAUCAGCAACCGAUGCAUUCUGCAGCUGUUGACCAAUCCGUUUGACCAAUAUAUCCUUCUGCGUUUCCCCACAAUCUAAUCGAACACAUUCUUGCAACAACUGAAUCAAAAGAUCACAAGAAACGCUAUUUCUUUCUGUUGGUAGUAAAAAGAGAAUCGUUUCAAUCAACAAACGGUUUUUUACAUCAUCCCCUUUCUUUAACUUCCGGUGCAAAUAAGCUUUUAAAGAUUCACUAACAACAUCAAGGCUUACUCUUCCUUUCGCCUUAAUCGUUAUUAUGACUCUUUUAUACAAAUCGAUAUGAAGAUCACACAAAUCUUCAACCCACCAAUCUUUCGGAACCGUUAACUGUUUCCUAACACCGUUAUAAAGAGGCGAUUCAGUGCCAUUUUCAUUCGAUAUUUUCUUUCUAUUAUAAGUAUACGACCAUUCAACUCUAGAAGGAUCCAUCGAAGCUUUUGAAGAUAUCGAAUCCAAACAACGAUGAACAACUUUUAGUUCUUCAGACCACGGAAGAAACGAUUUUGUAGUUUGAAAAACAAUAAUCGAAUCUUUCCACGUUCUGAAAAUGCUCGAAUCCAGAAAGACUUCGGUUUUGUAAACGAGAUUUCCUUUUUCUACGCUUUCAUUCAUUUCUAAAUACUCUGCUGCACAUCUAGCCGAGACCACAUUGUAUGCGUUUAGCGUGACCGUCAUACCGUAACA